UUGAGAAAACGUCCCUUAUUAUCGGCAUUUGAGAAACUGAAGCAUCGUGAGAGAUGGUGAAGAGUGGAGUUUGUGGUCGAUGCAAAGUAGAGACGGUGGCGCUGGCAGGGCAGAGGAGUGAGUGGUGGCGCUGGCAUAGCAGAGGAGAGCUGCAGAAACAUGAACACCUCCAGAAUCAUAGCAUCCGCAUAGCAACCGAAACUUAAGACAAAGAACAAAACAACAACUAAAAACAAAACAAGAACAACAAAAACAAAAAAAACUAAAAACAAACCAACGGUGGGUUGCCUCCCACCAAGCGCUAGAUUUGAAAGUCGCUAGCUCGACUGCUCAAGUGCUCAGAAAAUGCCCGGAACCAACAGCGAAACAGACUCCGCUGGAACUAAAGAAGAGGCAUCAUAAAACGGCUUCAAACGUUGUC
rnacentral:lncRNA from 1 species